rnacentral:misc_RNA from 1 species
UCAAAAAAUGCCAAAUUGUUCUGUUUUUUACUGCAAAAAAAGAUCUGCCACGUCAAAUUUACUAAAACAUGGCGUUACCUUUCAUACGUUUUCUAAAAAUCCAAAUUUAAGGGAUACAUGGAAAAAAAUGGUAAUAACAGAUUAACCUGGAAGCCCACAAAAAAUAGUGUAAUUUGUUCAGAUCAUAUCAAUACCGCUAACUUUUAAGUGUUGACGAACAAUAGAAGGAUUAGUCAAGGGCACCAAAUCAACACUAACGCCACACUGUUUUUGUCCCGUAAGUUUUUUUUUGUCUCAUGUACAAGGUAAUCAAGAUAUGGUUCACCUUAGUCAUAGUAGUGAAAUGAAGCUUAGAUUUAUCAACUUUGA